rnacentral:rRNA from 1 species
CAUUCCGAACGGCGGAUCACUUGGCUCGUAGGUCGUUGAAGAAUGACGUGACACUCGAGAAUUGAUGUGAAUUGCAGACACACUGAACUUGAAUACUUUGAACGCACAUUGC